GCCUGGUUGGCUCAGCUGGUAGAGCAUGAGACUCUUGAUCUCAGGGUUGUGAGUUCAAUCCUCCUACUGGACA